AUGGGCGCAAGCCUGAUCCAGCCAUGCCGCGUGUGUGAAGAAGGCCUUCGGGUUGUAAAGCUCUUUUGCYGGGAGGAAGGGCUGCUGGUUAAUACCUUGCGGUAWUGACGUUACCGGCAGAAUAAGCACCGGCUAACUCCGUGCCAGCAGCCGCGGUAAUACGGAGGGUGCAAGCGUUAAUCGGAAUUACUGGGCGUAAAGCGCGCGCAGGCGGUUCGUUAAGUCGGAUGUGAAAUCCCCGGGCUCAACCUGGGAACUGCAUUCGARACUGCCGAGCUAGAGUCUGGUAGAGGGGGGUGGAAUUCCAYGUGUAGCGGUGAAAUGCGUAGAUAUUGGGAGGAACACCAGUGGCGAAGGCGACCCCCUGGACCGAGACUGACGCUCAGG
rnacentral:rRNA from 1 species